GACUCAUGAUGGACACUCUCACGAUGGUCUUCCGAGCCCCACUGGUGAAGGGGCUUUGACGAGACCUGCCAAAAGGCGUUAACUGAAGUCAGCUC